AGCAGAAGCAGCAUCUGAAAUCUCCCCGCAACCUCUUGACGCAUCUUCUCUUCUUCGGAGCUUCCUGUGAAGCGCUGUUUCCACCAGCAUGGUCAACAAACAUCAUGGCUUUACAAACUCCUCUAAGUGGUUUAUCUUCAACCCCAAAUACAACUCCAAGGGCAAAAGCAACUGAUAAGUAAGUUUCCAAUGUUCACUGCAGUUCAGUUCGCAGGUAUUUGUGGUAGGUAGGCUGGAAAAUGUCACAUUACAUCAAAGAGCUGCAAGCAAGUUUGCGUUUGAAUAAUCUCUCUAGACUUUAAUUCCUCAGUUUCAGUGAGGGAAACCUGGCUGAGAGAAACCGUCACGUUGCUGUUUGCAAUUACAUUUUUGCCUCCAUAGACAGAAAUGCAGAGACUUAACAUACUGCAUGGUGCUGCAGACAGCUCAAGAGGAAACUCUGACAAGAAGAAAUUCUUUAUGUCAGGGCACAUUUCUGAGGAGUGCAAUUCCAGAUCAUAGUCAUGUGUUCCACCUUUUAUAUUACAUUUAUUAAAAGCAAAUGCAUCACUGAGUUGUUAUUCAAGCCAUUUUCUGUGAAAGAAAAAAAAAAACAAAACACAAUAUUGGAAUGACUCACACAAAAAUGCGACUAUGUCUAAAGGAUGUACAGUUAAAAAGAGACCCCAAAAACCUUGGCAACCUGUGCUAAAAUGCCAUAAACAUCAACAAAAGCAUCUCUAAACUUGUGUUGAAUUGAGUCACUUUGAUGAACAUGUGUAGGAAUGGUCACAUUGCCAGACAACUGCCAGCUUUCAGACUGGCUUCACCGACGCACCCUCCAAUUCACAUCAAUAAAGUGACAGAACAUAAACACACACAUGAACACAAUGUUUGACAGUGGCAUGUAUGCCAUGUUUGGGGUGAUCUCAUACAGAAAAAAAAAAAAAUUAGACAAAACAUUAAAAUAAAACAAACACUGAACAAUAAAAGCAGGUUGAUAUGGAAUGUAAUUCCAGAAGAUGAUCACAGAUGAUAAAUUAUGAGAAAAAAAACUGACAUUUGAAGCAUAUCUAAACAAAUCUUGAAAGUUUCAGUGGCUACGUCAUCUGUGCAUUUAAAAUGCCUGUCAGUAGUGCUGCACUGAAGUUAAGACGUGUGAGUAGUCCGUUAAAACACAUACCUUCCACUGGGACACAUUUGGAGCUGCCUUUCAGGUAAUAAUUAAGAUUUUUGACAAACAUAAGAUAGCUGAAAAUUGACAAAUAAAUAAAGCCGUCUGUACAUCAGAUAAACGUGGGCACAGCAUCGUCAUACAUACAGAUCCUAGUUACAGCGUGUCAUCAUGCUCAGAGAUGGGUGUCGACGCUGAAACACAUGAAAGCACUUGAGUGAGAAUGACUGAACCCAAAAAAAAAACAAA